rnacentral:rRNA from 1 species
GAUGAACGCUGGCGGCGUGCCUAAUACAUGCAAGUCGAGCGAACAGACGAGGAGCUUGCUCCUCUGACGUUAGCGGCGGACGGGUGAGUAACACGUGGAUAACCUACCUAUAAGACUGGGAUAACUUCGGGAAACCGGAGCUAAUACCGGAUAAUAUAUUGAACCGCAUGGUUCAAUAGUGAAAGACGGUUUUGCUGUCACUUAUCGAUGGAUCCGCGCCGCAUUAGCUAGUUGGUAAGGUAACGGCUUACCAAGGCGACGAUGCGUAGCCGACCUGAGAGAGUGAUCGGCCACACUAGAACUGAGACACGGUCCAGACUCCUACGGGAGGCAGCAGUAGGGAAUCUUCCGCAAUGGGCGAAAGCCUGACGGAGCAACGCCGCGUGAGUGAUGAAGGUCUUCGGAUCGUAAAACUCUGUUAUUAGGGAAGAACAAAUGUGUAAGUAACUAUGCACGUCUUGACGGUACCUAAUCAGAAAGCCACGGCUAACUACGUG